rnacentral:misc_RNA from 1 species
UCCGGUUUGACACCGGCAGUCUCCUAUGAGUCCCCGACAUUACUCGCUGGCAACAUAGGAUAGGGGUUGCGCUCGUUGCGCCACUUAAGGCAACACCUCACGGCACGAGCUGACGACAGCCAUGCAGCACCUGUGCGGGCUCCCGUAGGAGGACCGUGUUUCCACGGCUUCACCCCGCAUGUCAAGCCCUGGUAAGGUUCUUCGCGUUGCGUCGAAUUAAGCCACAUGCUCCGCCGCUUGUGCGGGCCCCCGCCAAUUCUUUUGAGUUUUAGCCUUGCGGCCGUACUCCCCAGGCGGGGCGCUUAAUGCGCUAGCUGCGGCACGGAACUCGUGGAAUGAGCCCCACACCUAGCGCCCAACGUUUACGGCGUGGACUAC